UUCAGGGACUUCAAUUCAGAA
rnacentral:miRNA from 1 species